GUUGAAGAACGCAGUGAAAUGCGAUAAGUAAUGUGAAUUGCAGAAUUCAGUGAAUCAUCGAAUCUUUGAACGCACAUUGCGCCCGUCAGUAUUCUGGCGGGCAUGCCUGUUCGAGCGUCAUUACGCCCCUCAAGUCCCCUGUGGACUUGGUGUUGGGGAUCGGCGAGGCUGGUUUUCCAGCACAGCCGUCCCUUAAAUUAAUUGGCGGUCUCGCCGUGGCCCUCCUCUGCGCAGUAGUAAAACACUCGCAACAGGAGCCCGGCGCGGUCCACUGCCGUAAAACCCCCCAACUUUUUAUAGUUGACCUCGAAUCAGGUAGGACUACCCGCUGAACUUAAGCAUAUCAAUAAGCGGAGGA
rnacentral:misc_RNA from 1 species